rnacentral:rRNA from 1 species
UACGAAGGGGGCUAGCGUUGCUCGGAAUCAUUGGGCGUAAAGGGUGCGUAGGCGGGUCUUUAAGUCAGGGGUGAAAUCCUGGAGCUCAACUCCAGAACUGCCUUUGAUACUGGAGGAUCGUUGAGUUCGGGAGAGGUGAGUGGAACUGCGAGUGUAGAGGUGAAAUUCGUGAGAUAUUCGCUAAGAACACCGAGUGGCGAAGGCGGCUUGACUGGUCCGGUUCUGGACGCUGAGGCGCGAAAGCGUGGGGAGCAAACAGG